AUAAUAACAAGAUCUUAAUUAAGUACUAUUACAAAAGAAGGAAACUGGUGUAAACCCAGUGCUGUUCCCGCAACUGUAAACGAUGCUAAAUCGUGAGUCAGAUACUUCCAUAGAUUUGCUUUUUCGG
rnacentral:ncRNA from 2 species